rnacentral:rRNA from 1 species
GACGAACGCUGGCGGCGUGCUUAACACAUGCAAGUCGAACGGAAAGGCCCUGCUUUUGUGGGGUGCUCGAGUGGCGAACGGGUGAGUAACACGUGAGUAACCUGCCCUUGACUUUGGGAUAACUUCAGGAAACUGGGGCUAAUACCGGAUAGGAGCUCCUGCUGCAUGGUGGGGGUUGGAAAGUUUCGGCGGUUGGGGAUGGACUCGCGGCUUAUCAGCUUGUUGGUGGGGUAGUGGCUUACCAAGGCUUUGACGGGUAGCCGGCCUGAGAGGGUGACCGGCCACAUUGGGACUGAGAUACGGCCCAGACUCCUACGGGAGGCAGCAGUGGGGAAUAUUGCACAAUGGGCGGAAGCCUGAUGCAGCAACGCCGCGUGCGGGAUGACGGCCUUCGGGCUGUAAACCGCUUUCGCCUGUGACGAAGCGUGAGUGACGGUAAUGGGUAAAGAAGCACCGGCUGACUACGUG